rnacentral:rRNA from 1 species
UACGUAGGGGGCAAGCGUUGUCCGGAAUCAUUGGGCGUAAAGAGCGUGUAGGCGGUUCGGUAAGUCUGCUGUGAAAGUCCAGGGCUCAACCCUGGGAUGCCGGUGGAUACUGUCGGACUAGAGUACGGAAGAGGCGAGUGGAAUUCCCGGUGUAGCGGUGAAAUGCGCAGAUAUCGGGAGGAACACCAAUUGCGAAGGCAGCUCGCUGGGACGUCGAUUGACGCUGAGACGCGAAAGCGUGGGGAGCAAACAGG